UACAGAGGUGGCAAGCGUUGUUCGGAAUUACUGGGCGUAAAGGGCGCGUAGGCGGCCAUCUAAGUCAGACGUGAAAUCCCCCGGCUUAACCUGGGAACUGCGUCUGAUACUGGAAGGCUUGAGUAUGGGAGAGGGAUGUAGAAUUCCAGGUGUAGCGGUGAAAUGCGUAGAUAUCUGGAGGAAUACCGGUGGCGAAGGCGGCAUCCUGGACCAUUACUGACGCUGAGGCGCGAAAGCUAGGGGAGCAAGCGGG
rnacentral:rRNA from 1 species